rnacentral:rRNA from 1 species
GACGAACGCUGGCGGCGUGCUUAACACAUGCAAGUCGAACGGUAAGGCCCUUCGGGGUACACGAGUGGCGAACGGGUGAGUAACACGUGGGUGAUCUGCCCUGCACUUCGGGAUAAGCCUGGGAAACUGGGUCUAAUACCGGAUAGGACUCCGGACUGCAUGGUCUGGGGUGGAAAGCUUUUGCGGUGUGGGAUGGGCCCGCGGCCUAUCAGCUUGUUGGUGGGGUGAUGGCCUACCAAGGCGACGACGGGUAGCCGGCCUGAGAGGGUGACCGGCCACACGGGGACUGAGAUACGGCCCAGACUCCUGCGGGAGGCAGCAGUGGGGAAUAUUGCACAAUGGGCGCAAGCCUGAUGCAGCGACGCCGCGUGAGGGAUGACGGCCUUCGGGUUGUAAACCUCUUUCAGCAUCGACGAAGCGAAAGUGACGGUAGGUGCAGAAGAAGGACCGGCCAACUACGUGCCAGCAGCCGCCGUAA